CCAAUGGAUGUUCUGAACUCCAAAAGGGAUCUGUUUUGUUUUCCCUUGUCUCAGUUACAGAUAGCUUUAGUAAAUAUUUCUCUUAAAUGGCUGAAUGUCUGUAAAGCUGCAAUACCCAGUUCUACCACUGCAAGCAGAUUACAGACAUACUUACAUCAGAAGCCUAAAGUGGACAGAGAAUGAUAUGCAACCAAGUAUUACUCAGAUUAAAUCAGAUGAUUACUGCCACAAGAGACUUUACUCUGUGUCUGGAAAUGUACAAAUUAUAAAUGAAGACAAAAUAUCAGUACUGAGAAAAUCUUUUUGUUCGAGAACAUGUAUU